rnacentral:rRNA from 1 species
CCUACGGCAGCAGUGGGGGAUAUUGCACAAUGGGGGAAACCCUGAUGCAGCGACGACGCGUGAGUGAAGAAGUAUUUCGGUAUGUAAAGCUCUAUCAGUAGGGAAGAAAAUGACAGUACCUGACUAAGAAGCCCCGGCUAACUACGUGCCAGCAGCCGCGGUAAUACGUAGGGGGCAAGCGUUAUCCGGAUUUACUGGGUGUAAAGGGGGCGUAGACGGUUGUGUAUGUCUGGAGUGAAAGCCCGGGGCCCAACCCCGGGACUGCUUUGGAAACUGUGUAACUGGAGUACAGGAGGGGCAGGCGGAAUUCCUGGUGUAGCGGUGAAAUGCGUAGAUAUCAGGAGGAACACCAGCGGCGAAGGCGGCCUGCUGGACUGAAACUGACGUUGAGGCUCGAAAGCGUGGGGAGCAAACAGGAUUAGAUACCCCAGUAGUC